rnacentral:rRNA from 1 species
UAGGGAAUCUUCCGCAAUGGACGCAAGUCUGACGGAGCAACGCCGCGUGAGUGAAGAAGGAUUUCGGUUCGUAAAACUCUGUUGUUAGAGAAGGACAGCGCAUAGAGUAACUGUUAUGCGUGUGACGGUAUCUAACCAGAAAGCCACGGCUAACUACGUGCCAGCAGCCGCGGUAAUACGUAGGUGGCAAGCGUUGUCCGGAUUUAUUGGGCGUAAAGCGAGCGCAGGCGGUCAAUUAAGUCUGAUGUGAAAGCCCCCGGCUCAACCGGGGAGGGUCAUUGGAAACUGGUUGACUUGAGUGCAGAAGAGGAGAGUGGAAUUCCAUGUGUAGCGGUGAAAUGCGUAGAUAUAUGGAGGAACACCAGUGGCGAAGGCGACUCUCUGGUCUGUAACUGACGCUGAGGUUCGAAAGCGUGGGUAGCAAACAGG